rnacentral:miRNA from 1 species
UCUCGGUAAUGGAAAAAGAAC